rnacentral:lncRNA from 1 species
AAAAAAAAAAAAAAAAAAAAAAAAAAAAAAAAAAAAAAAAACUUUGAAAAAAAAAAAAAAAAAUUUUUUUUUUUU